CUUGCAUUUAAAAACAAAAAAUUUUUUUUCACUGUUAUAGAUUGAAGGGCAGUUAAUUGUCUGCCAGCGGGUGUGUCAGGCUCACAGUGGAUACUGUGCCCAGUGCCACCACUCACUCACUGGUACCCGGACGAAAUUUAUUUUCACAAAAGGCAAUCCCCAACCUGUACUUGAUUGUGCAAAAGGAAAUAAUGGCAUGUCUGGCAUACAGUGUUGGGGCAAGGGUCCAUCUGACCACUGAUACCUGGUCUGCAAAGCAUGGUCAGGGCAGGUAUAUCACCUACACUGCACAUUGGGCAAACCUGCUGACGGCUGCCAAGCAUGG